rnacentral:lncRNA from 1 species
UGAGAUUCUUGAGAGGGUUGGUUCUGUCGCUUACAGGAUUGCCUUGCCACCAUCAUUGUGCCAUAUCCAUAAUAUAUUUCAUGUUUCAAUGAUCAGAAAGUAUAUACCUGAUCCCUCUCAUAUCAUUAAGUAUGAGUCGAUGGUGAUUGAUAAAGACUUGUCUUAUGUGGAAGAGCCCACUCAGAUUGUUGAUAAAAAAGAAAAGAUCUUGAGGAAUCGGGUUAUCCCUCUAGUUAAAGUGAUCUGGAGAUAUCAUUCUGGAGAGGAAACAACUUGGGAGCUUGAGGAAGAAAUGAUGAAAGCUUAUCCUCAUCUUUUCGUCGAAUGAGGUAUGAUAAAUUUAGAGGACUAAAUUUUUUUUUUUUAAGGAGGGGAGAGUGUAACAUCCCCCAUUUUUAAAAAUUUAGUAAAAGGUUUGUUUGUAAAAAUAAGGAUUAUUUAAUAAUUAUUUUAUAUUAAAUGAUAUUAUAUUAAAGGUUUAUGGCUAGGGACCUAAGAGUAAAUAUUAGAAGUUUGAUAUAAUUUAUGAAAGAUUCAGAUUUAAGUUA